GUAGGUGGCAAGCGUUGUCCGGAAUUAUUGGGCGUAAAGCGCGCGCAGGUGGUUCUUUAAGUCUGAUGUGAAAGCCCCCGGCUCAACCGGGGAGGGUCAUUGGAAACUGGGGAACUUGAGUGCAGGAGAGGAAAGUGGAAUUCCACGUGUAGCGGUGGAAUGCGUAGAUAUGUGGAGGAACACCAGUGGCGAAGGCGACUUUCUGGCCUGUAACUGACACUGAGGCGCGAAAGCGUGGGGAGCAAACAGGGAUUAGAUACCCUGGUAGUCCACGCCGUAAACGAUGAGUGCUAAGUGUUGGGGGGGUUUCCCGCCCCUCAGUGCUGCAGCUAACGCAUUAAGCACUCCGCCUGGGGAGUACGGUCGCAAGACUG
rnacentral:rRNA from 1 species